CUUCCAUCUUCUUUCUUCUCUUUCUUUCUCUCGUUCCUCUGUUGUUCUUCUGUUUGAGUUUGAUUGAUGAAAUGGGCUUUUGAGAUCAAGGGAAGACGAUGGAUAUCAGUUAAUGAACGUUAACGGUGGUGUUGAUGAUUUGGGUUCAAUGAAAAAGUGAUGCAGAGAAUUUGAAUUAGGGUUUUAGAGUUUGUUUUGAGAUUUCGUGGAAGUGAUUAGUGGAUUGAGUUGUUAGCAGAUGAAGAACGGUUGGGUUGGUGUUUAAUCGAUUUUCAGAAGCUGUUCUCAUGAAGAAUCAGAGUUAGGGUUUCUCAGAAAUUGAAUUAGGGCUUGUGAGAAAAGCCAAGGGAAAAUUGGGGAUGUUAUUGAGUAAUUGAUGAUGGGUUUUAUGUUAAUUGAAUCAUAAAGAAGAAUCAGUAGUCGAAUUACAAUUUUAGUGAAGAUUUUGAGAGAAAUUAGGGGUGUUUCAUAGGAUUGUGUAGAAGUACGAUUAAAAGAUGAAUUUGAUGUUCUAAGAAGAGUAUUAGAGAUGGGUUCGGUUGAAUUGAGGAGUUAGAAUUAUGUAUUGAACUCGAAUCAGAAAACAGGGGAUUAAGAAUUACUUUUAGGGUUUUUAUGAGCAUAAGUAUUUGAGAUGGAGAUUGUGUGAUGAAGACUAGGGGUCGUUUUUGUUAAUAAGAAGGUGGUGGAGUUAUUGUUGGUGUUGAUUCAAGACUCGGGAGAAAAUGGUGAAGAAGAGUUUGCAUUCAAUUUCUUCAACAAGACUAAUUUGAGGGUUGGUUGUGAUGGAACUAUGAUUGUUUUGAAGCUAAUGUAUGAGAUGAGUUAUGGUUAUGGUGUUUCUUUUGAAGUUACAGUUAUGAGGAAUUGUGUUGUUGGCUGUAUGUUGGAAUUAAAUUACUAGUGAACUGAAUUAUGAACUAUGGAUGUUGAUGGAGAUAUAUUGAAACUUAGACUGAGAUAGUUGGAGGUAUCUCUACUGAAUCUCUAGAGAAGUAUGAAUGGAUGUGCAGGUGGUGGUUUAUAUGCUGAAUAUAACUGUGUGUAUUGGUUGAAGUGAUAAUGGUGCAGAUGAAAAGUUGAAUGUGCAGAUGAAAAGUGUGGCAGAGAUGCAGAAGUGUAAAUGGAACUGAAGUUGCAGUGUAUGGCUGAGAAGGUAGUGCGAAUGGGAUAGUGAAUAAGCUGUAGUUGUAAAGCUAGGUUUGUGAUUAUAUUACAGGAAUAAUUGUUGAGCUGAACUCAGUUGUAAUAGUCUGUGAAUUGUGUAGGAGUUGGUUUGUGCUCUUAAGAUGUAUAAGCCGACUUGGUUGUGGUGCUGUCAUAGUAAAGGGUUCAGCAAAAGCUUGCAACUUCUGAUGUUGCAGGUAGGCUGUGUUAUCUUUUGUAAAUCAAUUUUAAGUUACAAUUUGAAUGAAUGAAUUAUUGCAAUGAUUGGAUUG